GACUGUGGCCACCCAUUACCAUAAGUACUUCUUCUGUUCCUAAAUUCUUACCGCUGUUUUAGUUCAAAUUUGUACUAAAACAACGAUAAGAAUUUAGGAACGGAGGGAAUACUUUCAUAAUUUAUCUUGCUCUCCAU